AAAUUGAAGAGUUUGAUCAUGGCUCAGAUUGAACGCUGGCGGCAGGCCUAACACAUGCAAGUCGAACGGUAACAGGAAGCAGCUUGCUGCUUUGCUGACGAGUGGCGGACGGGUGAGUAAUGUCUGGGAAACUGCCUGAUGGAGGGGGAUAACUACUGGAAACAGUGGCUAAUACCGCAUAACGUCGCAAGACCAAAGAGGGGGACCUUCGGGCCUCUUGCCAUCAGAUGUGCCCAGAUGGGAUUAGCUUGUUGGUGAGGUAACGGCUCACCAAGGCGACGAUCCCUAGCUGGUCUGAGAGGAUGACCAGCCACACUGGAACUGAGACACGGUCCAGACUCCUACGGGAGGCAGCAGUGGGGAAUAUUGCACAAUGGGCGCAAGCCUGAUGCAGCCAUGCCGCGUGUAUGAAGAAGGCCUUCGGGUUGUAAAGUACUUUCAGCGGGGAGGAAGGUGUUGUGGUUAAUAACC
rnacentral:rRNA from 1 species